GACAGAGGGUGCAAACGUUGUUCGGAAUUACUGGGCGUAAAGCGCAUGUAGGCGGCCAAGCAGGUCGGAUGUGAAAUCCCUCGGCUCAACCAAGGAAGUGCAUUCGAAACCGCAUGGCUGGAGUCCCGGAGAGGAUGGUGGAAUUCUCGGUGUAGAGGUGAAAUUCGUAGAUAUCGAGAGGAACACCGGCGGCGAAGGCGGCCAUCUGGACGAGGACUGACGCUGAGAUGCGAAAGCGUGGGGAGCAAACAGGG
rnacentral:rRNA from 1 species